GCUGGGCAUGGUGGCUCAUGCCUGUAAUCCCAGCACUCUGGGAGGCCGAGGUGGGUGGAUCACCUGAGGUCAGGAGUUCAAGACCAGCCUGGCCAACAUGGCGAAACCCCAUCUCUA
rnacentral:SRP_RNA from 1 species